GACGAACGCUGGCGGCGUGCCUAAUACAUGCAAGUUGAGCGCUGAAGGUUGGUACUUGUACCAACUGGAUGAGCAGCGAACGGGUGAGUAACGCGUGGGGAAUCUGCCUUUGAGCGGGGGACAACAUUUGGAAACGAAUGCUAAUACCGCAUAAAAACUUUAAACACAAGUUUUAAGUUUGAAAGAUGCAAUUGCAUCACUCAAAGAUGAUCCCGCGUUGUAUUAGCUAGUUGGUGAGGUAAAGGCUCACCAAGGCGAUGAUACAUAGCCGACCUGAGAGGGUGAUCGGCCACAUUGGAACUGAGACACGGCCCAAACUCCUACGGGAGGCAGCAGUGGGGAAUCUUCGGAAAUGGGCGAAAGUCUGACCGAGCAACGCCGCGUGGGGGAAGAAGGUUUUCGGGUUGUAAAACUCUUUUGGUAGGAAAGAACGUUGGUGGGGGUGGAAAGCCCAUCAAGGGACGGAAACUACCCAGAAAGGGACGGCUAACUACGU
rnacentral:rRNA from 1 species